GGGGGAGUCUCAUUCUAGCCUGGAGUGGAAAGGCCUAGCUGCCUGGGAGUAAGGUACCUGAGAUGAAGCAGUGCUGGGGAAGGGCAAAGGGAGGUCCCGCCUGCCCCUGUUAAGCAGAAGGAGGAAGCCUUCUAGGAAAAGGGACUGAGUAGAAAAUAAGGACCAACCAGAGAGAAGUGGCCAGUUGGCAUGAAUUGCAACCCAGUUUUGGGAGGAGCCCUGUGGAUUCCUGAUCUCAAGAAGGAAAGACGUCCUGUAUUUUAUCCAGCCCUGGGAGGUGGGCUAUAGACUCCUUAUCCAAGGAGGUGUGGAGGAAGAGAGACUGCUUUACUCUAACCCAGCCCUAAGACAAGUGCUAUAGAUUACUGAUUCAAAGAGGGAAACUGCAUCUAUCUUAACCCUGCUCUGAGAGGGGAUUGUGGACUCCUGAUGCAAGAGGAAAGAGGCUGAUUGAAUUGUGACUCUUCCUCAAGAGGAAGGCUAUGGACUGCUGACCCUAAAAGAGGGAAUUAUUGGAUUUGGUACCCACGCCACUCCUGGAAGGAAGGCUUUUGUCUCACUCUUUGGGAGCCAAGAGUCUAGAGUUACAAACCAGCAAGGAAGCCUACCCAAACCUUCACACCAACCCCAGAGGGUGUUGGACCAAAACAAAGCUGAAGAAGAUGGAAAUUGAGACAGGGUGCCUGCUGAACUACCUCAGGACACAAGAAGAUGUACUGGAGGUGAUAACCCUACAAUACCCACCCUAAUAGCCUGAUUUUCAGAGAUGCUGAGAAUCUUCAGCUCCUGUUGACUUUGGUGGCAGUUAAGAAUGUUCAGGUUCUAUGAAAAUAAGGCCACUGAUGACUUGCACAACAUCACAUAGUGAAUCAGUGUCUGAGGCAAGAACAAGAAACCAGUUCUUCAGUGAUUACCAGUGAGACUAAAUGAAUUCCUGCAUUCACAUCCUACACACUAUUAAAAGAAACCUCAACAAAAUAGGAAGAGCUACAUGACUCCCUUGGCAAAUGCAAAGGAAAAUUACAUUCCCAUUAAAAAGAAUAGAAAGAUCAGCACAAAGAAAGGAAAGGAGAGACAAGAAGCAUAAGAAAUGCAUCCUCAACAAAGUCUGGAGACAAGCUACAAGGUGGAUGUUGCACACAUAAUCAUUUGAAAAUGAAUGGACCUCUUGUGGAUUAUACACUCAAACAGCGUUCCAAAUGUCAAGUGUUAGGUUGCCUAAUAAGUCUUCAAAAAAUGCCUUGGGGAGGCCAUUACCCUUCUAGUCUUUGAAAGGACACUAUAAAAUGGAACUAUUAGACUAUUCCUUUGGGGUUCCACACUGAAGACUGAUAACUGGCAAGUCAGGAGUCUAGGCCAAAUAUAUUUUAUUAGGUGAAAGUAGGAAUAGAGCUUCUACCAGGAAUGGCACAGACCCUCAAGUGGGGAAGAAAGAGGCACUGUUGGGGAUCUUUUAUUUUUCUCCUUGAAUAAAAGACUGAGCUCCCUAGAACAAGGAGAGAAAAAUCUUGCUAGCACCAACCAAUAUUCCUGGACAAAUUUUCUAACCCCAGAACACUGAGAGAGCCAGCCAGGUGCUUUGGGACAGGAAGUGUCCCUUAAUUAUAUUUGCACAGUGCCCAGCACAAUGGAGCCCCCAAUCCUGAUUGGGGUCUUUGGAAGCUACCAUAAUAUAAAUCUUCUGUGACAUGGAAGAUCUACAAUGGAGAACGUGGUCUGAAGUUUAAUACUGUAACCCAUUCUCUCUGCCAUGGUGGCCUCUGGGUUCUUGUCAGAAGUACCCCAGGUUAGAGUAUGGCAUUGGCCUCACUCCACAGCAAGAUCUCGGGACGGAUCAGGAGAAGUGCAGAUGUGCACUAAGAAGACUUCCAUUAGAUCCACCUCAGUGGAAGGACGGAUGUUCACUUCAGUUUGGGGAUGUUGAUGAAAGAAAGAAUAAGGAGACUCUCCCUUCGGAAAAUCUGCUGCUCCCACUCCCUAAGACUUAUAAUAUUGCUUUGCACAUCUAUAGCCUCUGUCCUUCAAGGAUCUCAAGGUGAAUAGGAAUCAAGCCAUUCACACGCUUGUGAGAUGGAUUAAUAUUAUCCUCAUUUUAUAGAUGAGGAAAUUGGGGCACAAACAAUCAAGUGACUUCCCCACGGCCUCAGAGUCUAUGGCAGGAUUCAAAAGACUGAAUCCAUGACAGAGUGCCUAUUCGACCAUUAGAUCUCACUCCUCUGAGAAGGCAACUGAGGAUGACAUGCAGAUGUUAUCAAAUUCAUUUCAAUAAGAAGGGGAUAUAAGAGUGUAAGGCUUGCCAUUUAUGGCUCCAACUGUCAGGUAGCUCAAUCAAUACUUCCAUUAUCUAAAAGGGAAAAUAAAACCAUGACUGAGCCAUUUUCCAUCAUUCCGAGUUACUCUUUUGUGCUAUUGACCGUGAAGCACCUGUCUUGGAGGUUCAGUACUUGGGAAAUGGAACAAACAACUUUUGUAAAGCUGUAGCUGUAGUUGUUCAAAACUUCAAAUUAUUAUACCAAGUUCUACAUGGGACCCCUCAAUGGUCUCUGCAAAAAAAAGUACUGACUGUACUUUUUUCAAAUCUGAAUUUGCUCUUUGUAUAUCAUUACUUC